GGUGAUCUAAGAGUCGUAUCUUCUGAGACAGGUGUAGCCAUUGGGCUCUCUUUCUCUCUCCAGACGAAAAGCCUUGAUCUCUGUACGAGGUGAUGAUCGCGUUCUUCCUGGUGAUCGCCGCCUCUACCCCCACGGAUAAUGCCUCCUGGCCGUCGCGGAAGAAGGAGAGAGGUUUGUUUUGGGAGGAGAGAGGUUUGUUCUGAAUCGAAAUCAAAGGCGAGGGUUUUGUUCUGAAUCGAAAUCGAAGGCCAUAUGUUAUUAUGAAGACGAAAACGAAAUCGAAGGCUAGGGGUUUGUCCACAAGUGAAGACUAAGGUGUCUAUUAAGGGGCACCUGCACACUUACAGAUUCUGUGACAACGUCUGGACAUUCAUAUUACAGGAUAGUGGCAUGUGACUCUAAGCUGCUCACACACUGAGAUGUAAAUUCUCAACAGAUAAUAUGCUCACUUCCUUUGUAAUAGAUUUUGAGUUUUGUUUUCCACUUUGUAAACUCAGCACUUGUUAUAUGUUGAGCUCCAUUUGCAGCCAUGAAUUUAGCCUAUAUGUAAAUUAUCUUUCUGAUUUAGGAUGGAAGUGACCAAGGCUCUGUUUCCAACGACAGUAGCACGCUUAAUGUUUGUUUAUAGCUGAUUGCUCUUAGUCAAGGAGAAGAUCCAAGGCUAGGCAUUCCAUCGACCUACAAAGACCAGAGUGAUAGUCGCAGUGGUCCAUGGAAGCUUCAUUGUGUAAAGCUAGUAUUGUUUUCAAAUAGCAGAAUAUCUAUUGUCUCUCAGUGUAGUCGACAUCAGACAGAGUCCCUUGGAUCCUGAGAAAAGGUCGAUUCCUUAAAGGUUGUAUUGAUGAUACUUGUGUAAUGAUUUCCACAUUAGGAUUUGUCUCAACGUUCUUAAUAGUUUCAUUACCAAAUUAUUUGGUCAUUUGAUUAUAACAUCACCAUGUACAAGUGUGUUUUGACUUUCUCGUACUUCUUUAAGAAAAUUGUUUUUCUUUACACUUGCUAUGAUUUUGAAUGGAGUAAAUAUGAGGUUUGUACUAUAUACAUCACA